rnacentral:lncRNA from 1 species
AUGAUGGAGAAACUUCUCCAGAUGGUGGAAGGUAUGCAUAUUGAGGAGGCGCCUUCCCGGUCGGGGCUCCAGCCGGAGCCCCCGAGAGCUCAGAAGCGGCCCCUCUCACCGCAGGCUGGCUUGAGCUCUCCUAAAAGGAAAGUUGUGCCUAGAAUGGUAGAGAACAAGCCGUUUGAGGCUGUGAUUUCUGUAGAUGAGAGUAAGGGAGAGGAGAGGAAAGAAACGGCAGGCAGCGGAUUAGAGCGGGAAGCCCCGCAAGCUGAUUCUGUCAAAGGGUUGCUAGAAAGCAAAAAUGAGAAUGUGCCGGUCGGUCUGGGUGACCAGGCUGAGAGGGCUGAGUUUGCCGGGGCAGGAUUAGCUCCGGCAGAGGCUAAGAUUGAGGCAACUGCGGUAGCCGAGAUGGUACCGAAUACGGGGGAGAAGGCGCCGAGUCUCUUGCCUUCCCAGGGCUUGGAAGCAAAAUCUGCUUCCGUAGAGAGCAUGCGUGAAGUUUCUGGGCUAGUCCCUGAGAGUGUGGAUGCUGACAUUAACCGAUCGCCUUCCCGGGCUUCUGACAAAGUAGGGGGACAACCUGUGGCAACUGAAAUGGUCACAGAGAAGGCGGAUACUGCCGCCGCUUUUUCGGCUUCUGAAGGCUCUGAUACAGCUGGGUUUGCUCCUGCCGAGGGCGAGAGCGACAUUGAAAUAGGGGGAAUGCAGGCGGAGGAGGGGCUUCCUUCCACAGGUCUGCCGGCUUCCCAGGGUCCUGACCCAAAAUCGGCUGAUGCGGAGGGGAAAGCUGGAGCCGCUGUUUUACCAUCUGAGGGGGCUGAUGUGAAAUAUGUUGUCCUGGAACGUGAUGCUGGGGGAAACCAAAUGUCUGAGGCAGUGGCUACUGCCCAGAAGGUUUUGUCUCUUGAAAGUGGGGAGAACAAACCUCUCUCUCCUGCAAGCAAGGAUAAGGUUUCUAAGGUGUUACCGGAAUGUGUUGACCCCAGUAUGAAAGUCUUGUUGGUUGAAAGUCGGGGCGGGGAAGGGAUUGUAUCCGAAAGUAAAGGGAUGGAUUCAUCUUUGUUGUCUGAGGCAGGGUCACCUGCUCAGGUUGUCUUGUCUGUUAAAUGUGUUAAGCCUGUAUGUAAGCCUCCCCCGGGGAGCCCAACCCUGGCCCCAGAAAUGAUAGCAGGAAGACUGUCGCCCACCCUCGCUGCCUUGUCGGCACCCCGUCCGGAGACCAGUGACAUGUCCCCGGAGAGCAAACAUGCUGUAAGCGGAAUGCUCUCUGAGAGGGGGUCUCCCACCUCAGACAUCCUGAACUCGGAGGGAUUAGAGGUUAGUUUAUCCCCAGACGGGAAACUGAUUGUGAGCGAGGUAUUACUGGAGACGGGGGCUCCCGGCUCCAGUAUGCUGGACUCAGAGGGUUUGGGCACCAAAUAUGUUACGGAAGACAGAAAGUCCACCAUUUCUGAUGAGAAGGGGUCCGUAACAUCUGGGGCAAGAUGCGCUACACCGGAGAGCAAACCGGGGGUCAGUGGGCUUUUUGUAAAGAUCGCCUCCCCAACGUCAUCCAUCCUGAACUCCGAGGGGCUGCCAGCGGGACGCGUUUUGGAAGAGAGGAAGCACGGAGAACUUGGGAUCAGCCCGGAGGGGGCUUCCGCAGCCCCCCACGAGGACUCCUCUAAAGGUUCCAAGUCCGGCUCCUCUUCGCCAGAGCGUAAGCCUGUCAUUAGCGAACUGUUAACCCUCUCACUACCAUUAAACGCCCCCCCUGCCGAAUGUUCAGAUUCCGACGGUGCCUCCCCAGAGAGGAAGCCUGUCGUCUCCAGAACAUUCCUGGGAAGACUUUCCCCUCCCAUUAGCAUUUCAUCGACAGAGUAUUCAGAUACAGAAUGUCCCUCCCCAGAAGGGGAGCCUUCAGGACCCCGUUCCUUUUCAGGCAGAUUGUCACCUCCCAUUAGUAUCUCUUCUACUGAAUAUUCUGAUGAGGAGUGUGCUUCCCCUGAAAGGAAGCCUUCCGUGCCUCCGGGCUUCAUAGAACUUCAGCCCAGAGCCAUCAGAAUUGCCCCCGCCAGCUACACCCCUCCCGACUACUUUUGCUCUGACCGAAAGCCGGUUGUAACUGGGCUUCUUCCUCUGCCCCUGCCCCUCCCCCUGCCCCUCCCCCUGCCUCUGCCUCUGCCUCUGCCCCUGCCCCAGCCCCAGCCCCAUCCCCAAAGGCGAUCUCCCAACCCCAGCGUUUCUUCCUAUGAGGGGUCUGACACGAGCUGGGCUUCUCCGGAGCGAAAGUCAGUGGUGAGGGGAAGGAUCUCGGGGAGAAUUUCUCCCGAGACCCUGGAGUUUGCCUCUGAGAGCUCUGAGGCGGGCUGCGCUUCCCCGGAGAGGAAGCCGGUCGUGGAGGACAUCUGUCCUGGCAGACUCUCUCCAGACUUAAGUAACUUAUCAUCGUCGGAGUGGUCUGAGGAGAAUAGCAGCGCUUCCCCGGAGAGGAAGCCGGUGGUCCCCAGAACCCUCCUGGGCCGCCUCUCGCCCCCCAUCAGUAUAUCAUCCACUGAAUAUUCAGACACCGAGUGCCCUUCCCCCGAGAGGAAGCCGGCAGGAAGCAGGAUCCCCGAGGGGGGGCUGUCCCCGCCUAUCAGUAUCUCCUCCACCGAGUACUCUGAUAGCGAGUGCCCCUCCCCCGAGAGGAAGCCCCUGGAGCCCGGGAUGUACUUAGGCAGGCUCUCGCCGCCCCUGAGUGUUUCCUCCACCGAAUACCCCCAUCUGGGGUGUUCUUCAGCGGAGAGGAAACCUGUGAUAAGUGGCCUCUUCUUGCCACCAGUGCCUCAGCGCCCCUCUGUACUGUCUGAUGUCCUGGAGAACAGAUGUGUCUCCCCAGAAAACAGGCCUGAGCCACUCUUGUCGGCCACGAGUGUGUUGUCCCCCGGGGGUCUGGAGACCCGAUGCGUCUCCCCAGAGAGCAAACCUACGACCAGUGGGGUGUUCUCAGAGGCUGCCUCUCCCGGCCCAAACGACCUGGCCGAGGAGGCUCUGGAAGAGAGAAGCGAGUCUCCCGAGAGGCCAGUGGGAGCCGAGAUCUUCUCAGAGCCGCUGUUCCCCUCCAGCAGCAUUUUGCCCACAGACUGUUUGGACACUCGUUCCAUUUCCCCCGACACCAAACCUUCCGGCAGCGCAGCUCUGGAAGAGACCCUGUUCUCAGCCACCAACAUCCUGACUCCCGAGUUCUCGGAGACGCGCUGUGUCUCUCCUGGCGGCAAAGCACCAGGAAGUGGGGCGUUCUCGGAGACGCUGUCUCCACCUGCCAACAUCUUGUCCUCUGAAAGCUCAGAGACGACCUGUGCCGCCCCAGAGAGCAAGCCCACCGCCACCGGGCUGCUCUCGGAGACCCUGGCUCCACCCGCAAACAUCUUGGCCUCUGAAAGCGCCGAGACCCCCCCUGUCUCCACUGAGAGCAAGCCUCAAGGGGGCGUCUUCCCUGAAAGACUCUCCCCCCCCAUCAGCGGCUCUUCCACAGGGUCCACGAACUCUGCCACCUCGACCCAGAGCACCAAACCCGUGGUGAGCACUGUGCCCGCACAGGCCCUGCCCCCCCCCAUUAGCACUCCCUCCACCGAGUGUCCGGACACUGGCUUGUCUUCCCCCAAGAGGAAGCCCAUAAUCACCAGGCUGGAGGUGGAGGGAGACGCCCAGGUCACAGGCUUUGUCCCUUCCCUGUGCCACGAGACAAAACUGGCCCCAAGAAUGACUGGACUGGUCCCUGAAAGCGUAGCGGUGGGCGCCGGCGACUCUCAGAGCUCUGAGAGCAAGCCCGGGGCCUCCAGAGUCCUCCGAGAAAGCGCCCCUGCUGCGGCCGGCCUUUUGCCCCGUGCCCCUCCCAGCCCCAGAGGCCGCCCCACAGACAGCGGCCCCGUGGACGCUGUGUUUCCCUCCACGAGCCGCGGGGACACUGAACGCUAUCCCAGGAGCAGGUCUCCCUUCCCCGGCCUCUCCCCCUCCCAGAGGUCCGAACCCAGAAUGCCGCCUCCUGCGGCACCCCGAAUGCCGACCAACAUCGUGGAUCCUUCCUCGCUCCUGCCGGCUUCCCGGGCGUCGGGCCCAAGGCUUGCCUCCGCAGAGAGCACUCCCCGAGGAGUCUGGAAUGGCCUCCCAAGGACCGCGUCCCGCGCCAGGCGUCGUGCCCCCUCCGCGUCCGGAGUCAAGAGCCGCGUGCACAGAGAGGAUCUCCCCCACCGCAGGUAUUGGGGCUCUGCUGUAUUGCGAGACCGAAGAUGUUUCCGAUGGUGAACCCGGAGUUUCCGCAGAGUUCUCGGAGGGCAGCUCUCCCACCGCAGGUAUCGGGGCCCUGCUCUACUGUGAGACGGAAGACGUUUCCGAUGGGGAACCUGGGGUUUCCGGAGGGUUCUCGGAGACCAUCUCUCCCACCUCAG